rnacentral:lncRNA from 10 species
UUACCCUUUCUUUUCAAGUGCUGCCAGCACCCUACUGAGUAGCCCAGCUUACAAAUCACAAUGUGACCAGCUUUAUAGUCCAAAGUGAAAGUCAAGAGAACCUCAAAUCUGCCUCUGAUUUCCAGGGUCAGUCUCACCUAUAAAAGUGAGACACAGGAAUCACUGAAUCCCUGUCAACUCAUCUACUGGUGGAAAGGAGGAAAACAACAGAAAUUCAGAUCUCCAGAUUAGCAGACAAUGCAAGGCUGGGACACAGAGCAAAUGACAAGUGACAGUGAAACUGGAUUUAAGAGAAUUUGAAUCAUUUGGGCGAGAAAGCCCGCAGAUGGCGCAUGCUGUUCGGUGUGGAAAAAUGGGUCAUUGCUCCCAGAGCAAUUACCAUAGCCUAAAAGACCUGUGAGAAGAGCAGAGCAUUUGUGCUGCAGGCUGAUCAGGGAAGAAUUAGGGGAGAUAUGUAGGGACUCCAAUGCUGUUACGACAGCACCCACGUGGCUCAUGCCCACACAGGAUGAUAAACCAAGCUCAAGAGAGAGUGCCAUACCCAGUGAGGUCUGUGGCCAUGGCCUUCCCUGGAUAAAAUGAGGGCAGCCCCACAGCACAGCAGAGAACAUUUGUCAAGGCUGGCCCGUGAGCACAGUGCUGCUGCCAUCAUGGUGCCGGAAAGCUAGAGUCUGUGGAAAACCCAGUGUGCUGAGGUGGCCCUGGGGUGGCCACAAUUGCUCUGUACAGGAAGCUGGACGUCUUCAUUCUGGCCCCCGCUCUGCUCCCUGAAAAAGGCUUCCUGACCUUAGUUUCUCUAUCUGUGAAAUAGGUACUGAGAUACUUGCUCUGUUUAGGUUACAGGAUUUUAGUGAGGAUUGAGAGAACCAGCAAGUGCAAAAGCAAACCAGAAACUGUCAGCCUUCAACCAAAAUAAGGAUUACUCAGGGAAGAUGAGUAGGAUUUGGUCUCAUCUCAAGCAAGACAAUGAUGCUCUGGGUUUGGGGAAGGGAUGGAAUGUGUGAGGAUAAAGAAAUCUUCAGGAUCAUGAAAGAGAUUGUUUUCAAAGUUAAAAGUAAGACAUCCUUCAUAUUAGGAAAAAAAUAACUGUAAGAAAUUGUUGUUUGAAGCUUGAAGAGUGAAAGUUUCAGAGGCCCAACUCCUCUCAGGAGGAUAAGUAUGGAAAAUAAGUUACUCUUGAGGGUAAUUAAUUGAAACAGAGGGCGAAUGAGUCCAAAAUGCACUUACAUCCCUUUCAAAUUGAAGGGAACAGAGAGCUUAAGAAAAGAGGGGAGGGGCAAGGAGGUAAAGAUCAAUGUUGAAAAGGCAAACAUGCUCUUUUCUUUAAAUGAGUGUGACCUCAGACAUGGGGUUAGCACAGACAGGUAUGUCCCAGCCCCAUAAUUCCCUUUCUAACCUACUAGCUGUGUUUGCGCAGGCGCCUGCCAUUGGGAAGCGCUCUGCGAGCUUUCCUGGGAUUGUGCCUCAUGAGCCAUCACCUGUCACUAUGUGUAUUUCAAGCCUACUUCUUCCUCUCCCUGACCUGUGAGAUGCUAAGAGGAGGAGGGAUGGGGUGUCAUGCAAUAUGGAAACCACUUUAAACAUCCACUGGGCUGAUGGCAAUAACAAAAUUUAUGUAAUCCAUGAAAGCACAGAAUUGGGUAAUAAAACUGGAUAAA